UACGUAGGGUGCAAGCGUUGUCCGGAAUUAUUGGGCGUAAAGAGCUCGUAGGCGGUUUGUCGCGUCUGCUGUGAAAACUCGGGGCUUAACUCCGGGCCUGCAGUGGGUACGGGCAGACUAGAGUGCGGUAGGGGAGACUGGAAUUCCUGGUGUAGCGGUGGAAUGCGCAGAUAUCAGGAGGAACACCGGUGGCGAAGGCGGGUCUCUGGGCAGUAACUGACGCUGAGGAGCGAAAGCGUGGGGAGCGAACAGG
rnacentral:rRNA from 1 species